rnacentral:rRNA from 1 species
CUUCUGGAAAGUCCUCGUGUUGCACCCCUUGUUUUUCGUUGGAUUUUUUUCAUUGGAGUUAUCGUUUACAGCGGUGCAACACACUCGCUUUGUAUGCAUCCCUUUCAUGUUCCUUGCAUUUUUUUUUUUCAUUUUGCUUAUCGUUUACGUCGAUCCAGCACACUCGCUUUGUUUGCUUAGCCUUCCCCAGGUGAAAAUACAAGCCGCUGGUCUCGUUUUAGGUGCUGAAACAUUGUGGCGACCUCGAAAUCUGCGGAAGCCCCUCAAGUUGCACCUCUCCAACGUGAAAGUGCUUUGUUGCAUUCAAAUCUUUUAUAAGACUUUAACGCACUUAUGCUAAUGGGUGCGAUCAUACCAACACUAAUGCACCGGA